rnacentral:rRNA from 1 species
UGACAGGUGGUGCAUGGUUGUCGUCAGCUCGUGUCGUGAGAUUGUUGGUUUAGUCCCACAACAAGCGCCACCCUUGUCUAUAGUUGACAGCAUUAAGUUGGGCACUCUAGAUAGACUGCCAGGGAUAGCCUGGAGGAAGGUGGGGAUGACGUCAAAUCAUCAUGCCCCUUAUGCUUAGGGCUACACGAGUGCUGCAAUGGGUAGUACAGAGGGUUGC